rnacentral:antisense_RNA from 1 species
UGUCAGCAGGCCUGGCAGAUGGGAACUCAGCUCCGGAAUUAAUUGCUUGUUUGUCUCCGGCUGGGAGGCCGCCCCCCCCCCCGCCCUUCCCUGGCGACCAGUUGCUCUGUGCCUAGCCGGGCCCCAAAUGUCGCCGGCAUCCGCGGCCGCAGGCAGCUCCGGGCCAGGCUCCGGGUCAGCCCCAAAGCCCGGGUCAAGCCAGGCAGGCGCUGCGGGCGGGCUCCCCGUGACGCGAGUGCCCCCUGCCGGCCGCUGCGCACACGGCUCCGAGACUGGGGAGACAGCGCCGCGCGUCCCAGGCCUGAGGCGCACUCGGAAACUCCGAAGGUCGUGAUCCCGGCGGAGACCAGGACACGCGGCUGCCGGCGCAUACGCCUGGAAAAUGAAAACGGGCGUCAGCCCACAUCUGGAUCUGGGUACCCAGGACAACACCCAAACCCCACCGCGCACUGCCGGCAGACAGCACC